rnacentral:rRNA from 1 species
GAUCCUGACUCAGGACGAACGCUGGCGGCGUGCUUAACACAUGCAAGUCGAACGAGGAUUAGCGGAUUGAGAGUUUCGACAGGAUUGAAGCUAAUUCGAGUGGCGGACGGGUGAGUAACGCGUGAAUGAUCUGUCCCAGACAGGGGGAUAACACUUGGAAACAGGUGCUAAUACCGCAUAAGACCACAGCAUCGCAUGGUGCAGGGGUAAAAGGAGCAAUCCGGUUUGGGGUGAGUUCGCGUCCGAUUAGAUAGUUGGUGAGGUAACGGCCCACCAAGUCGACGAUCGGUAGCCGACCUGAGAGGGUGAUCGGCCACAUUGGAACUGAGAGACGGUCCAAACUCCUACGGGAGGCAGCAGUGGGGAAUAUUGGGCAAUGGGCGAAAGCCCUGACCCAGCAACGCCGCGUGAGUGAUGAAGGCCUUCGGGUUGUAAAGCUCUGUUAUAGGGGACGAAGGAAGUGACGGUACCCUAUAAGGAAGCCCCGGCUAACUACGUGCCAGCAGCGGC